ensembl:lncRNA
AUGCGUCAACUUCUCUGUUCCCAUCUGAUAGUUGACAAUUCCACCUUAAGAGUAAUUGGUCCUGCUUUGAACCUCUGCAAGCACUGUGGGAGGAGGGUGGGCACUUUAUUGACUUGGAUUGAUUUUUGCAGGAAGCACAUGAGACAGACUCGGUAUCCGAUGUUGCACCUGGGAUACAUCACACUCCUCAAGAACAUCUGCAGGCCACAAGGGGGGUUCAGGAGGAUGUGGAGGAGGCCAUCAAACAACCCCAUCCCACCAAGUUGGACCUGUCUGCGUGGUCUCCUUGGAGAGAGGCUCUCACCCUUGGAGAGCUGGGACCACGUUCAUGGGCCAGAGGUGUCUUGCCUAAAAGCAGCCAGCAGUAACCCCUUGCAUACACACAGGGUAUGUGUGUAUAUCUGUAUGCAUAUCUCUGUGUGUGUUUAUAUAGAUAUAGGUACACAUUUGAAUCACAGAAUGGUUUGGGGUGGAAGGAACCUUAAAGCUCAUCUCAAGCUUCCACCCCCUGCCAUGGGCAGGGACACCUUCCACUGCCCCAGGGUGCUCCAAGCCCCAUCCAACCUGGCCUUGGGCACUGCCAGGGAUGGGGCAGCCACAGCUGCUCCGGGCAAUCUGUGCCAGGCCCUCCCCACCCUCACAGGGAAGAUAUUUUUCCUAACAGCCAAUUUAAACCUCCUCUCCAUCUGAAACCAUUCCUCCUUGUCCUGUCUCACCAGGCCCUUGGAAAUAGUGUCUCCAUGUUCUGUUGCGGGCUCCCUCAGGUACUGGAAAGCUGCAAUUAGGUGACUCCAAAGCCUUCUCUUUUCCAGGAUGGACAAUCCCAAUUCUCUCAGCUUUUCCUCAAAGGAGAGGUGUUCCACCCCUCCAAUCAUUUUGCUGGCCUUCCCAUAUAUACA